rnacentral:sRNA from 1 species
GAAUGUUUCAAAUAGAAAUCAAAUCCAUGAUUUGAUUAGAUGGUGGAACUUAAUUUAUAUGAGUAAAAGAAUUCUUUGUAGGUGCUGAUACAUGGAGGCCUUCUACAGACACCUAGUGGGAGCUGAUUUUUCUGUCUUGCAAACUUGCAACAUAGUGGCAGUUGUCCCGAAUAUUUUAUAGCAUUACUAAUUUGUACUGUAGUUUCAAGUUUUAAACAUUUUAUAUUCUGUUUCAUUGAUUUGCUUUGUUUUUGUCCCUUUUCCAGUAUAGAAAUUUAAGUCAUCAAAUAGACCUCAGGAAACAAACAAACAAAAAAAGCAGAGCAUUCUCUUCUAUUAUACUUACACAUCAUAGUGAGAUAUAAUAUGUUUGCAGCCAUUUUUAUUUUUUCCUUGUCACCAUUCUUUUGCAGUUGACAAAUAUUUUUGAAGGAGGACCUAUCAUUAAAGAAUGAGUUGAUUUCCACUUUGAAAAGCAAAAUUGAGGGCUUCCUUUAGUUGAUAUUUCAGUAAAUGAGGAAGUAGGCAGCGUAAGUGGUUUUAAUAAGAUGAUAAUGAACAUGCAUUCCUGGCACAUAAACAGCUAUGUUUUCUUAUACUUUUUCUAUUCGUUUCAAGCUGAAAGACCUUUUUCUUGAUGUUGAUUGUAUUUUUUUGUUUAUUUUUACCUUCCAUUUAUUACCUUCAUUUUCUGAAACCCUGUGGUAUUUGUGACAUUUUUCCAUGCAGUGUAUUCAUUUCAGUUGUUAUUUUUGGCCUGAUUGUUAUCUAUAACACCUAUUAUUUAUGCUAUCCAUGGAACAUUUCGAAGCCUUCUUAUAUUUUCAUAUUGUAUAGAUGCUCGUGGGUAUGAAGACGGAUUUAAUUGCAACAUGAGGUGGAAAAUGGAUACAAUUAUUUUGCAACGUGAUUUGUGAUAUUUGAUUUAACUUGACUAUGACAGAGUUCUGCAACCACUCAGAGGAUCAAAACAACUUGCACUUGAAGGCUAGCCUUUCGUUUUUAUUUCUACCUUUUUUUUCUUUUUGUGGAAGAUGGGGUCUUGCUGUGUUGCCCAGGCUGUUCUUGAACUCCUGGGCUCAAGCAGUUCUCUACAAAAAAAAUACACCCCCACCAAAAAAAAAUAGCCAGGCAAUUGCUUGAACCCAGGCUGGUCUCAAACUCCUGGGCUCAAGCAUUCCACCUCCCUAGGCUUCCCAGUGUGCUGGGAUUACAGGUGUGAGCCACACCCUGCCCUCAUAUUCUUUAUCUCCUUUUGUUGUUGUUGUUGUUGUUGGCACAUAUAGUCAUUCAUUGCUUAAUGACAAGAAUACGUUCUGAAAAAUGCAUCGUUAGACAAGUUUGUUUUGUGAACAUCACAGAGUGUACUCAAACAAACCUAAAUGGUAUAGCUUAUUGCUGCUAGGCUAUAAGCCUGUACAGCAUGUUACUGUAAUGAAUACUGCAGGCAGUUGUAACACAAUGGUAAGUAUUUGUGUAUCUACAUAUAUCUAAACAUAGAAAAGGUACAGUAGAAAUAUGGCAUUACAAUCAUUGAGUGAAACAUCGUUAUUUGGCACAUUACUGUAUUCACUUUUGGCAGGAGGAUUAACUUUAUUAUUAUCUAUUGAUAAAUUAUUUACUUCAUUUUAUAGCCAGAAGUCAUUUUGAAUGUGGUUUAAAUUUUUUUAAUUCAAAAAAUUUUUUAUAUUUUAUUGUGGUUUAAUGAGAUUUCAAAUGUAGUAGAUAGGUGAUAAAUCAUUUUUAAGAGAAGUUCCAAGAGUGCUUGGAACAAUAGCAGCUCAGUGGGAAAAGGAUUUAAAAUCUUCAAAUUCAUUCUUCACCAUACUUUUUAUUAUUAAGGCUUAUAUUUCAUAGCUCCAUUUAAUUGAUUUUGUCAAAUGACAAAGAAGUAUGUCCUCAUUAUAAACAAAAAGCACUGUGCCUUUCCUAAAUUUUUCAGGUUUUACUUAACUCUAUGUAGGGAUUCUGUUAAACUAAAUAUAAUAGAGAGAAAAACAUUCUGUUUUUGAAGGCGACUUAGCUGAUGAUCAUUGCUUUGUUUGGACCUUAGCAGUUGUUGCAUAGUUAAUAGUUUGUAUGUAGAUGAAGACUCAUGACUCUAAACCUGUUUAGAGAUUAACAGGAUUGUUUUGCAGAGGCAAAAAGUGUAAUGAAAAAUUGGUAAUUCUUUUCUAGUUAAGUUGUAGUCUUAAAAAUUAUCUUUUUAUGUUUCAAAUUUUAGAAAUAUGGAAAACUGACAACUUGUACUGGUUGCCGAACACAGUGCAGGUUUUUUGAUAUGACUCAGUGUAUAGGUCCUAAUGGAUAUAUGGAGCCAUAUUGUUCAACUGCUUGUAUGAACAGUCACAAGACAAAAUAUGCAAAAUCACAAAGUUUGGGAAUUAUUUGCCAUUUUUGUAAGCGAAACUCUUUACCUCAAUACCAAGCCACAAUGCCUGAUGGAAAACUGUACAACUUUUGCAAUUCCAGUUGUGUGGCUAAAUUUCAGGCUCUAAGUAUGCAGUCAUCUCCAAAUGGCCAGUUUGUAGCGCCAAGUGAUAUUCAGUUGAAAUGCAACUACUGCAAAAAUUCCUUUUGUUCAAAACCAGAAAUCCUGGAAUGGGAGGCAAAACAAAGUGCAUCAGUUCUGCAGCAAAACUUGUUCAGAUGACUAUAAGAAGUUGCAUUGCAUAGUUACAUAUUGCGAAUACUGUCAAGAGGAGAAGACUCUUCAUGAAACAGUAAAUUUCUCUGGCGUUAAGAGACCUUUCUGUAGUGAAGGCUGCAAAUUAUUAUACAAACAGGAUUUUGCCAGACGUUUAGGAUUGAGAUGUGUUACUUGCAACUAUUGUUCUCAGCUAUGUAAGAAGGGAGCAACUAAAGAACUCGAUGGUGUUGUGAGAGAUUUCUGCAGUGAAGAUUGCUGUAAAAAAUUUCAGGAUUGGUACUACAAGGCGAGUGUGACUGUUGUAAAUCUCAAGGAACUCUUAAAGAGCGAGUUCAGUGGCGUGGGGAAAUGAAACAUUUCUGUGAUCAACAUUGCUUACUGCGUUUCUACUGUCAACAAAAUGAGCCCAACAUGACAACUCAGAAAGGACCUGAAAACUUACAUUAUGAUCAGGGUUGUCAGACGUCUCGAACCAAAAUGACAGGUUCAGCACCACCCCCUUCUCCAACACCUAACAAAGAGAUGAAGAACAAAGCAGUUCUUUGCAAACCUUUAACAAUGACAAAAGCUACUUACUGUAAACCUCACAUGCAGACCAAAUCUUGUCAGACAGAUGAUACUUGGAAGACAGAAUAUGUUCCAGUGCCUAUCCCUGUGCCUGUGUAUAUCCCAGUUCCUAUGCACAUGUACAGUCAGAAUAUUCCUGUUCCUACUACAGUUCCUGUUCCUGUGCCAGUUCCUGUUUUUCUGCCUGCUCCAUUGGACAGCAGUGAGAAGAUUCCUGCAGCAAUUGAGGAGCUAAAAAGCAAGGUUUCUUCAGAUGCUCUUGAUACAGAGUUGCUUACAAUGACGGAUAUGACGAGUGAAGACGAGGGGAAAACAGAGACAACCAACAUCAACAGUGUAAUUAUUGAAACAGAUAUAAUUGGUUCAGACCUUUUGAAGAACUCUGACCCAGAGACACAGUCCAGCAUGCCUGAUGUACCAUAUGAACCAGAUUUGGAUAUCGAAAUAGAUUUUCCCAGAGCUGCUGAGGAGCUUGAUAUGGAAAAUGAAUUUUUAUUACCACCUGUUUUUGGCGAAGAGUAUGAGGAACAGCCCAGACCUCGAUCUAAAAAAAAGGGAGCCAAGAGAAAGGCUGUAUCAGGAUACCAGUCUCAUGAUGAUAGUUCUGACAAUUCAGAAUGCAGCUUUCCUUUCAAAUAUACGUAUGGCGUAAAUGCAUGGAAACACUGGGUCAAAACUAGGCAACUUGAUGAAGAUCUUCUGGUAUUAGAUGAGUUAAAAUCUUCUAAAUCGGUAAAAUUAAAAGAGGAUCUACUCUCUCACACCACAGCUGAGCUUAACUAUGGGUUAGCUCAUUUUGUCAAUGAGAUCCGACGGCCAAAUGGAGAGAAUUAUGCACCUGACAGCAUCUAUUACCUUUGCCUUGGAAUACAGGAGUAUUUGUGUGGAAGUAAUCGAAAAGACAACAUAUUUAUUGAUCCUGGAUACCAAACAUUUGAGCAAGAAUUGAAUAAAAUACUGCGAAGCUGGCAACCAAGCAUACUUCCAGAUGGGUCAAUAUUCUCUCGAGUUGAAGAAGACUAUCUCUGGAGGAUAAAACAACUAGGAUCACACUCUCCAGUAGCUCUUCUGAAUACACUGUUCUACUUUAACACUAAGUAUUUUGGCCUGAAAACAGUGGAACAACACUUAAGACUUUCCUUUGGCACUGUGUUUAGGCAUUGGAAAAAAAAUCCUUUAACGAUGGAAAACAAAGCGUGUCUUCGAUACCAAGUGUCUUCCUUGUGUGGAACAGAUAAUGAAGAUAAAAUUACUACUGGAAAAAGAAAACAUGAAGAUGAUGAGCCAGUAUUUGAACAAAUUGAAAACACAGCCAAUCCUUCCAGAUGUCCUGUGAAAAUGUUUGAAUGCUACUUGUCUAAAAGUCCACAGAAUCUUAAUCAGAGGAUGGAUGUUUUUUAUUUGCAACCAGAAUGCUCUAGUUCUACAGAUAGCCCUGUCUGGUAUACGUCUACUUCACUGGACCGAAACACCUUGGAAAAUAUGCUUGUACGGGUUCUUCUAGUAAAAGAUAUUUAUGAUAAAGACAAUUAUGAACUGGAUGAAGACACAGACUAAAAAGGAACGUUGCAGAAGCAAUCGGGAUAAAACAGCAUUAGAUAGUCAUGCUGCUAGAUCUUUAUUAUGGAAAACAUUUCAAGUUUACUCCUUCUGUUUUGAGUUUUGUAGCAGUGUACCCACGCUGGGUAUUACCAUGUAAAUAAUCUGUGAGUGAAAGUUGCCAUUAUUCUAUGUAGUGGUUUUAGGAUACUUAACAAAUACAUUCAAAUUCUUUUUUUAUUAUUAUUUAUUUGAUUAGGUAUGUUUGUAACUUUUUACAUUACAGAAUAUGAAUGAGAAUGUGCCAUGUAUAAUUUUUUUCUUGUAGUAAGAAACAUCCAUAUUGCACAACUCUACUGUUGCAAAGCUUCCUUGGAAGGGGGCUCUUUUACUGGGUUCUUAACCAGAUGGUUGUGUAUGGGUAGCACUACUAAAAGUUUAGAACUUGCAGUGUCUUUCGGAAUUUUUAAAAUAAACUGUAAACUAAUAGGCUGGGGUUUUUGUUUUGUUUUGGGGUUUUGUUUUGUUUUGUUUUACAUUUUAGUUACUGAAGCCUUACAAGGUUAUGUAGAGAGAUACCAUCUUCUGUACCAAAAAUAGACAAGAGAAUGCUGUCAAUAUUGGUGUACUGUAAUGUGAAUCUAUACUGGUGAAAACAAUUUUUUGUUCCCCUUAUUAAAACCUUAGUGUCCUUU